UCCGGUUUAAUGAGGCAUGGCAUGGCAAAGUGCAACACACAAUACUACAAGUUAAGUGGAGCUCAAUAUGCAACGAGUUGCAUAUUGACGAAACACCACAUCCGAGUUAUUUAGUUCGCUCUCGUUUAGGUACACAACAAUGUUAAAUGUUGUUAAACAUGGCAAGGGGUGUAACAAAAGUAAACUAACUAUUUAGGCAAGUUUAAAUGAGGCCGGAAGAACAAACAACAAUUCCGGAAAAUCCUCAUAUGCAAAUUAUGAAUUUGGUACUGUUCUGCCCUAAAACAUAUUUUAAAGUUGUUAAACAGGAAAAUAAAAUGGACCAUGUUAAACUAGGCAUUUUUCCACCCCAUUUACAUAUAAAGAACAUUUAAAACCGAGCUACGGUUAUUUAGUUAUGAAAUAAAUCAUUUUACAUGGCAUUUGAGCAAAUUUAAACAAACAUCAUUUUAAACAUUUUAAACAUGGAUGAAAGUGGCAUAUUAUUAAUCUACACAAGAUUCUAAGCAUUUUACAUAUUUAAAGUUUUUACAUAUGAUGCAUAAUUAGUGAGAUAUUAUAUGCAUGAUGUUUAGGGUCCAAUCUGUAAAACUGCAGACUCUGGAUAAUUGGGCAAAACCGCAGAACGGAAAAAAAUAAUGACACGGGCCGAAUCUGAUAGCCCAACAGAAGGGAAAGGAGGCGCUGGGGGAUGGCCUCACCCAUGGGCUUCGGCCCGUUGGUGGAGGAGGCUGGCUAGGCGCGGAGGCGCGCUGGGCCACGCGAUCUGGCACGGGAGGCCGGCUGGGGGGCGCAACCGGGCCUUGGAGCCCACCUGGCGGUCGCUUGCGGGCGAGGCGCAGUCAACGCGGGCGUCGACCUGCUGCUGCUCGAUCUGAACGAACAGGAGGGAGCUCGCGCAGGGGAAGCAGAGCUCGACUGCGCUCGGUGCAGUUCGUGAAGACGACAGCGGCGCGGGACGACGAGGGGCUCGAGUCGACGGAGCAAGUAGCAGGCACGGCGGCGCUGAGGACUCCGGCGCGGUCAACGGCGAGGAGGGGAGACCGGGCGAAGAGGUGGAGCGGGCGAUGGCAGGAGGGACUUGGCGGGGCGGCGGAGAGUGCGCAGGGGCUUGGGACUCCGGCAGCUUGGCGCGGGGCUGGAGCGGCAUGCGGACGACCCCGACGAGCUCCACGGCCACGGCGGACGACGGAACUGGACGCGAGCGGAGGCGUGCUGGAACGAGCGAGUCCCUGCUCGACGAAGAGGAAGCGGAGGCCGGCGCGACGAGAAGCAGGGGACGCAGCGCGGCCUGGUGCGACUGGGACUCCGAUGAAGGGCUGCGCGACGGGGAGGAGGUCGUGGCGGAGCGGUUCCCGGCGAGAGGGAGCAGCGGCUGCUGAUGUUGUCUGAAGAAAGAAAGAAAGAGAGAUUCAGAGAGGGAACAUAAGAGGUAGUCAGAGAGAGAGACGGGAGGAAGGGCGCUGCGUUGAACUCAUCUGUUGCGGCUUGCUCGGGGACAGAAGGACGGGCGCCACAGGAGGAGUUGGAUGCUCGGGGUUGCUGGAGGUUGGCGCUCGAACGAGGGGCUCCUGGCUCGAGGGCGACGAGGAGACCGAGGAGGGUUGGAUCGAGGGGAGGCCUCGGGCAGGUGGUUGGAUUGGCAGGGGAGAUCGAGCGGGGAGGAGGAGGCGCUCGAUGGAUUGGAUCGGGCAAGAUGAGGCAGGGGAUCGAACGAGGAAGGAGGGCGAGGGGAUCUGGAACGAGGAGGAGGGAGAGCGCUGGUUGGGUGGAGAAGGAUCGGGAGGGGAUCCCGAGAGGGUUUUGGUCGGGUGGCGGCGGAGGGAAUGGAAGGAUGGGACAGGUGCCUAGAUUCUAGGGUUAGUCUUUAUAUAACACAAGUGAAUUUUGGAUAGGGGUAUUUGGUCCCUCCGAUCGUAAUCGGACGGCGAAAAAAAAUAGGCUAGAGAGUCCAAAUAAGAAAACGGAGAUAUUUUGUAGAUGUUAGGGGAUGAUCCGGACCCAACGGUAAUGACAGACCGGUUCGGGUUCGGGCAAGUUUCGGACACGCACACGAGGGUGCUGCGAGCUGGCAAGAGAGGUUAGGUCGUCAGACAAGAGGGACUCGAAAACCCGGUUGGACUCAGAUCGGUCAACGAAGGCAAGGGGGGGAAAGCGGCAACUACGAGCGGAUGCAAGUUUUAAGAAAAACGAUGCCGAUGCAAUGCGAAUGAUGCGAUGAUGAAAUGCAUGACAUGAACAAAAUGCAAAACAAAAAGCAAAAACCCAACCACGAAGGAAAAAUCAUAUCGCAUCUCCGGAAAAGGCAAGAGUUGGAGUUAUGAAUAUGGAAAGCUACAUCCGGGGCGUUACAACACUCCACCACUAUGAGAGGAUCUCGUCCCGAGAUCUAGGAUGGCACCGGAGGGAAAACGGAAGAGGAAGAGAAGAGGUAAAACUAAGUUGCUUCUUUGACCAAUGAGUGAAACCAAAGAACCUUGAGAGGUUGAACAAAUUGAAAGAAAAAAAACAAUGAAGAUGAGCAAAGUUGAAAACACUCUGUUAGAAAAGAGGAACAAGGAGUAUUACGAGGACUUGAAGGUUGCAAAGACAUGGAAAUAAGAGCUUAAUGGACAAGGUAGAAUUUGAACACACUCCGGUUAAAACAACAUGAGAGAGGAAGAAUGAUAUAAUUUGGGCAGCACUCCGACUGUAAAUGGAAGGAAAAGAACAUGAACUUGACAAGAUGAGAGGAUACAUGAUGAAAUGAACAACACACUGCCUCCGGAAUUGAAAGAAUGGCACAAGGGGUGAGAAACACUACAAACCGCACUCCGGUUGAGAAGGGAGGCAAAACUUGAUAAGAUGAAAGAGCUCGAGUGAGAACACAACACUCCGGUUAAGAAAAAAAAACAUGAUCUUUACAAAAUGAGAUGAUGGGUCGAAGAGAGUAACAUCACAAUGCCUCUGGAACAAAAGAAUAGAAGAUAGAUCACUGGAAUAACAGAAUGUAGGAGAAAAUGCAAACUUCUGCCACAAAUGAGCUCGGAAAGCACCCUUCCAAGAAGGUUAUAACGGAGUUGUUGGAAAACCAACAACGAAAAGAAUAAGUUUGUAGUGGGCUUAUGGAAACAUCUCAACAUUAUGAGGUGACAACCGACCACUAACGGAAGCAAUUGCUUGCUUGAGAUUAACGAAGAGAUGAAAGCUUGUUCCACCAAGAGGAUAAAGAGCAAGCUUGGGUCAUACCUAAACACCAUAAAUAGCAACAACCCUUAAGGAAAGGCUUUAGGUGAAAACUGACACGAGAUAAUUCCAACGAAGAAGUUGAUUGGUCGAAAAGAUCUCUUGAACGAAGAGAAAAUGAUGGAUUUAAAAUACCUCAUUCUUGACAACAUAUGAAUCAUGAAACAUGAAUGGAAAUUGCCAAGAAUGAUAUAACACCACCUCAAAAGCUAAGGUAGAAAGAAUUGCACUGUGGAAUGCAAGAUGAAGAAUACUUGAACUUCUCAAAACAAAACAAGUGUUGGGCACCCUGUUUAAUUUUUGAGUAUAGCUUGGCGGAUCAUAACUUCGAGCAAAAUCUUGAAGAACAAUUGAAGAAUGAAAAGAAUCCUUGACGACCCACCGUUUAGAGCCUCCAUGAAGAACUCCGGUAAUAGAAGGAUGAGCAAUUGAAACCAAGAAUGUGAUAAGAUGACCAACUCUGGAAAGAAAGAUGAAUCACUUGUAGUCAAGAAUUUAUUCAUCAUGAAUAAUCUCCGGAAGAAAAGAAUUAAAUCACCUCGAGGAAAUAAGAAUAAGAUUUAUUGUAUGCUUGUCCUUCAUCAAAUUAAAUUGAUGACAAGCAAUGGAUUUGGCAUGCCACUUAUUCUCGUAGAAAGGAUUAAGAUAGAUAUAGCGCAAAACUUGAGGAAGUCUUCAUGAACCACCGGUAGGAUAGGAAAGAACGAAUGAAUUGAUAUGAUAACAAAGGAAAAAGAAUCUGAAGGAACCACCGAUGGGAUUUGGAAACAACGAGUGAGUUAAUGAAUUGAUAUGAUGACAAAUGAAGAGAAAUCUUGAACGAACCACCGUAAGAAUUGAAAAUGAGCAUAGCAAAGGCACGAUUCACCGGGAAGAAUUGGAAAACAAAUGAAGAUGCUUGAGGGGAUUUAGAUACAUGAGAACAAAGAGAUCAUGAACUGAUUAGAGGAUAUUUGAACGAUUCACUGGUAAGAUUUGGAGAACGAUAGCUACACGCUGAGAAUGAAGAAUUAUGACAUGAUGGCCUUCGUAGAAAAGAAAUGGAAGCAACUCAUGAAAUGCUCCGGAUGGUAAGAAAAGAAUUGUCACAAUCGAAAACAAUUAUGAGAGGAUGGCAUCAAGCUAGCACCAUGAAUCUUGAAGAGAAUAGAGCAAGAUUAAAGAGAAACUCUUCUUCGGUCUUCACAUGCUGAGAAUGAUGACAAGAACCACCAAAAAUGAUGAGGCACUUCGGAACAAAGAAGAAUAGAAAUGAUGAACCAACGAUGAAAAUAUUAUGAAAGCAAUCUUGGAGAAGGAAUAUGACUGAUGAAAAUUCAUUCUUACGUCAAACUUUGAAAGGAAUUUGAGAAUCGCUCCGGAUAAAUUAGAAGAGUCAGGUAAGAUCCUGGGAAAAGACCUGUGGGUUAGGGCCCACUCAAAAGAAAACACCGUUGGAAAUGAUUUUAAAGAGAGAUUGCACCGGUUGAAUUAAAUGGCUUGAAUGAGAUAAGAGCCUCACAAUAACUUGAACGGAUAGAGAAUGGAAACACGGAACUUCCGAGAUAUCUUCAACACUCCGGAACAAAUGAAUAGCAAGAGGUGAGUGAUUGAGAGGUGCACCGGCAUGAGAAAGCAUUUGACACGAGGAAAGGAAUAUUAUCAACACUGAAAGCUUGAAUUGGAUCCACCGGAGAAGCAAAAAGAACGGAGGAUGAUGGACUCAAAGCUCCGUUAGCAUCUUUCUGAGAAUCACCGGAUAAGAACAUUGACGGGAAAAGAGUGGAGAAUCUUCACAUGAAUAAAUGGAUGCUUGAUUAAAAAAAAUCUGAGUCCUUGAAGAAAAAGGGUGGGAGGGUGGGGAAAAACAAAGACAACUUGGGAUGAACGAAACAAACACCGUUGAGAAAACGUAGAAUUGAUCUUGCGGAUGGGGAGAAUGACGGGAUCAUCUCGAAGAGAAGCGCACCGGUUGGAAAAGAAUUAACAUGACAACCUCAAUGAUCAAAAAGGAUUAGUAUUCACAUAGCAAUAUGAGAACACCGUUUAGGAAAGGUAUGGAUUCAACAUUUGACUUCGAAGCAACUCGACUACCACAACUCAAAACAAAACAAAGGAUUUGGCUUGUAGAAUAAGCCGGAACAAACAUAUGAUAGAGAUUUACCCAAUCCCAUAUCAUGCAUCUGUCGGAAAGAUAUUCUAGGAGCUACUUGAAUUCCCACCUAUAAAACUCCCGAAACUUUCUGGUUAUGCAAUCUGGUGUUGGGGAUACAGGGGAAGCAAUAUAUCUCACCCAAACUAACAAUCCCUACAUCCAGCUGUAUCCAUCCGUCAACACAUAACCAAGAAACUUUCGGAAAUCGUGUACCUCAACCUUCGAAAAGCAUCUGUUAUACAAGUCAUGGCAAUACUCCCGUACUCACCUCAGUACUGGGUUAUCGGGGUUAUCUCACCAACAACUGCAUAAAAGAGAUUUCCGAUGUCGGCGUACUAAACUCAGGUAUUCCAGAACUGCAACGAUAAAAUUAUGACGACAACACCUUAGAGCUCAACUCCCCGGGACACUUCCACUAAACCCCUGACAGGAGGCACCAAGACAAUGUUCUCAUCAUAAAACCAUCGGAACGAUUCCAAGAUACCCGCGUGAUCCUAAAAAGAAUUUAGUGAAAUUUGAGAAGAGAAGAGUCAAAACUCUACGUCAGGAGACCUCACCAGAGCGAUGAAGGGACUGAGGAGUAAAAAGAAUUCCUAACUCUCCGAUAUAUAUAAUCCUAAAUGACUCAAAACAUUUUUCUAGACACAACUCGGCCGCUAAAAACGAUCAAGCAGUGGGGCUCCUAAGGUCGAGGAAGGCUCUGAUACCAACUUGUAACGCCCUCGAUGCGGCUAUAUCUCCCACGUGUCGAAGCACGACUUAGAGGCAUAACCGCAUUGAAAGCAAUGUCGCAAGUGAGGUAAUCUUCACACAACCCAUGUAAUACAUAAGGGAAAGAGAUACAUAGUUGGCUUACAAUCGCCACUUCAAACAAUUACAUGAAUAAAGCAUUACAUCAUCCAGAUACAAUCAAGGUCCGACUACGGAACCAAAAUAAAAGAAGAACCCCAAAUGCGACAAAGGUCCCCGAUCGACCCCAACUGGGCUCCACUACUGAUCAACUAGAACGAAACAACACAAAGGGCAAGAUCUUCAUCGAGCUCCUCCUUGAGCUCGGAUGCGUCACCUGCACGGUUACAUAGGCACCUGCAAACUGGUGUUGGAAGUAUCUGGUGAGCCACGAGGACUCAGCAAUCCCAUUACCAUGGGUAUCAAGACUAGCAAAGCUUAAUGGGAAAGGAAGGGGUAAAGUGGUGAGGUUGCAGCAGCGACUAAGCAAGUAUGGUGGCUAACAUACGCAAAAGAGAGCGAGAAGAGAAACAAGCGGAACGGUCGUGAAGCUAACAAUGAUCAAGAGGUGAUCCUGAACACCUACUUACGUCAAACAUAACCCAAAGACCGUGUUCACUUCCCGAACUCCGUCGAGAAGAGACCAUCACGGCUACACACACGGUUGAUGCGUUUAAUUCGGAUCUGGUGUCAAGUUAUCUACAACCGGACAUUAACAAAUUCCCAUCUGCCACAUAACCGCGGGCACGGCUCUCGAAAGUUUAUACCCUGCAGGGGUGUCCCAACUUAGCCCAUGACAAGCUCUCGCGAUCAACGAAGGAAUAGACCUUCUCCCAGGAAGACCCGAUCAGUCUCAGAAUCCCGGUUUACAAGACAUUUCGACAAUGGUAAAACAAGACCAGCAAAGCCGCUCGAUGCGCCGACAAUCCCGAUAGGAGCUGCACAUAUCUCGUUCUCAGGGCAACACCGGAUAAGUCAAGCUACGAGUAAAACCAGCCCUCGAGUUGCCACGAGGUGGCCCCGCAGGCUGCUCGGUUCGGACCAACACUUAGACAAGCACUGGCCCGGGGGGGCUAAAAUAAAGAUGACCCUCGGGUUGGCCGACCCAAGGGAAAGGGAUAGGUGGUGGUGAGGCAAAUGGUAAAACCAAGGUUGGGCCUUGCUGGACAAGUUUUAUUCAAAGCGAACUGUCAGGGGGGUCCCAUAAAUCACCCGACCGCGUUAGGAACGCAAAAUCCGGGAACAUAACACCGGUAUGAUGGAAACUAGGGCGGCAAGAGUGGAACAAAACACCAGGCAUAAGGCCAGGCCUUCCACCCUUUACCAAAUAUAUAGAUGCAUUAAUAAUAUAAGAGAUAUUGUGAUAUCCCAACAUAACCCUGUCCACCAUGGAGCAAUCUUCAACUUCACCUGCAACUAGCAACGCUAUAAGAGGGGCUGAGCAAAGCGGUAACAUAGCCAAUCAAUGGUUUGCAUAGGAAAGGUGUCAAAGGUUAGAGGUUCAUGGCAAUAUGGGAUGGCUUGAUAAAAAAGUAAUAGGUAGCGCAGCAUAGCGAUAGAACGAAGCAACUAGCAUAGCAAUGAUAGUAGUGAGAUCCAGGGUAGCGGUCAUCUUGCCUGAAAUCCCGCAAGGAAGAAGAACGAGUCCAUGAAGACGACAAAAGGACGUAGUCGAACGAAUCCUCACAAUCGCAACAUUACCGGAACUAAGAGGCAACACCGGAAAGAAACAAACAACAUGGUAAACAACCAUCACAUAAGCAUGGCAUGAUGCACAAUCAAGUAUGAUGCAUGUCCGGUUUAAUGAGGCAUGGCAUGGCAAAGUGCAACACACAAUACUACAAGUUAAGUGGAGCUCAAUAUGCAAUGAGUUACAUAUUGACGAAACACCACAUCCGAGUUAUUUAGUUCGCUCUCGUUUAGGUACACAACAAUGUUAAAUGUUGUUAAACAUGGCAAGGGGUGUAACAAAAGUAAACUAACUAUUUAGGCAAGUUUAAAUGAGGCCGGAAGAACAAACAACAAUUCCGGAAAAUCC
rnacentral:lncRNA from 1 species